GCUCUCUAGGUGAGUGGGAACAAAUGGCAGCCUAUCAGAGAAGUGCACCCAGGACAAUUGCACAGUUGUGAUCAUUUGGGGAUCUCAUGCAGACUCUCCCUGCAGCCCCCAGUGCACCAUCAGGAGUUUCUAAGUACAAAAUGAGACAAGACUGUUGUGGAAAAGUCAACUGGAGAGACCAGGUCAAAGGCCAAGCAGAAGAGGAAUUAGGCUUAAGACUGCACUGAGAGGGAACACUAGACCAUGGUGGUAAAUGGAGUCUCGACACGUUGCCCAAGCUGUUCUCAAACUCCAGGGCUUGAACAAUCUUCCCACCUUGGCCUCCCAAGGCACUGGAAUUACAGAGACAGUGCUCUGCAGGGAGUCUACCACUGUGAUGGUUAAUACUGAGUGUCAACUUGAUUGGAUUGAAGGAUGCAAAGUAUUGUUCCUGGGUGUGUCUGUGAGGGUGUUGCCAAAGGAGAUUAACAUUUGAGUCAGUGGGCUGGGAAAGGUAGACCCAGCCGUAAUCUAGGUGGGCACCAUCUAAUCAGCUGCCAGCACAGCUAGAAGAUAAAGUAGGCAGAAAAACAUGAAAACAUUAGACUGGCCUAGCCUCUGAGCCUACAUCUUUCUCCCAUGCUGGAUGCUCCCUGCCCUUGAACAUCAGACUCCAAGUUUUUCAGUUUUGGGACUGGGACUCACUAUCCUUGCUCCUCAGCUUGCAGACAGCCUAUUGUGGGACCUUAUGAUCAUGUGAGUUAAUACUUAAUACAUAAAUAUAUAUAUAUACACACACACAUAUACACACACACACACACAUAUAUAUAUACACACACACACACAUAUAUAUAUAUAUCUGUCCCUCUAGAGAACCCUGACUAAUACAACUACUAAUAAAAAUUGGGGCAAAAGACAUUGAUUGGGUAUUGUAAGUAGGUUAUGCUCACAGUAGCAAUAUCUCUUAAGACUUUUUAAAAGACUUCCUAAUAAAAGAGAUUUAAAAUACAGCAAAUAACAAGUUUGUGCAUUUUCAAUUUCAUUAUCAGCACCACCUUCAUUAUCCAAAGUUAUUACUAAAGCUUAUGACACAUACAGCAUGAGCAGCAGACAGAAAAUUUUGAAGUCAGUGCCUCUGUGGUUCACAGGUGCAGAGGCAGACAUCACAGCUGUCAAGCAGUUAUUUACAAGAGAGACACUUCUCCAGUAGUAAUUGACAACCUUCUUUAAGGGAAAAGAGGCUGCAAAACUGUGGAAUAUUAGAACAUGAAGCCAAAGAGGAAAACUGACUUGCCUAAGGCCACUCAACAAAUUAUUCAGCCAGAAUGGGAACUCAUACUUGACUUCAACUUCUUAUUCCUCGUGUUCUUACUCCUACAAGUUUUCCACUACUCAGGGGCUCUUUAGGGUAAAUUAACCAUGAAAACACACACAUGCACACACACAUACAAACUAAAUUCCAUUCAUAUUAAGAUAUGCUUCCUUUUUUCUCUCCCCUAUCCAUGGUAGUAAUAACAAGAAGUAAAAGCUUUUUCAUUAUAAAGUAAACUUCCAUUUUUCUUUCUUGAUACGUUUUCAGGUUUUCCUCUAAAAGUAAUUAAAAGUACUACUCAAGUUGUUCCUAGUUGUCUAGAAUGGCUUAUGCUGCCAUUAGCUUCUACAGCUCUGUCAUUAGAGAAAUGGACUGUACUUCUUCUUCACCUUUCACAUGCGGCCAAAAUUGGGUUACUUUAAAAGGCCAGAUGUCAAAAGCAGAUAAAUCCUUUGUACUGUAAUGAGCAUAAUGAUGAAUAAUGGCACUUAUGUUCAAUAAACGAUGCCCUGCCCAUAAACAGCCUUUCCUCUCAGAUAUUCUAUUUAAUUCAAUGAUAUAUUCCAGGUAAUUUGUGGAACUGAAUGAGAAAUUACCUUAAACAAGAAGACUUUGGAAUUUACUAAAAUAUACUUGUUGAAAAUAAUUAAUGGAAGCAGAGUUUGCAUUAGUAAAAUUAUGGCAUUAAAAUCCGUCAUUGCAUGAAUUCAUCUUCCAAGUGGCCUGCCUUGGAGCAGGUGUACAGAUGAGGGCAUUGUGGCAUGAACAAUGUUGGUAGUAAAAGGCAUGCUAUUGAUAUCAAUGUGCCAUGGUAUGUGGUGCUCUUUGUGUGUUUUAAGAACAGAGACAAUCCAUAUAGUGUUGAUCAUCUCCCACUUAAACUACUGUAAAACCCAACUGAUCUUGCUACCUAUAUUCCAUGGAACUAUCCUAGUAAUCUUUGGAAAACAUAAAUCACAUCACGCCACUAACCCCCACUCAAACUACUAAUGGUUUCCCACCAUAGUUGAAGUAAAAAUCCAAAAUGCUUUCCAUGCUCUAUAAGACUGUAAAAAGACCUAUCUCUAGCCUGCCUCUCUGACAUUAUCGUCUACUAUUCUUUCCCCCUUGCUACUCCACACUAGUUACACUUGCAGUAUUGAUAGUUCUUAAAUAUUCAAAGAUAUUCCUUCCCCCAGGGACCUUGCGGUUUUUUUCUCCACUAUAUCUCAUUUUUGCAUGAAUCACUUCCUCAUCACAUUCAAGAAUCUGCUUAUAUAUCAUCUACAACUUCUAUUCCCAGCAACACAGCAAACUACAUACCUUGAAAAAAAAACUUUCCCAGUGGAGAACAGCUAAAAUUGCUUUAAAAAUGCAUUUUUAGAUACUUUAAUUGUUUAAUUGAGAAGUUUUUUAAAAAAUCGUAGAAACCAAAAAGUUAAAGCAAAAACAUUAAUCUCAAAAGGUAAGAGAAUACUGAAAACGAUGCCUGUCCUGGGACAAUGGCUGAUCGCUGAUAGUCCAGAGCUGCACUGUUCGAUACAGUAGCCACUUGCCACCUGCGACUAUUUAAAUUUUUUAAAAAAUUAUAAAUUUAAUUUCUCAAUUACAUAAGCCACACUUCAAGUGUUCAAUAAUCACAGUGGCUGAUGGAUACCAUGUUGGACAACACAAAUACAGAACGUUUCCAUCAUAUAGAAAGUUGAAUUGGAUGCUCUGAUCUCAAUUUUUAAACAAAACCUAGAGCCCAUUGAAAGAGAAAGUUAGAUUGGAGACCUCCUCCUAUUUCAGGUACACAGAUCCCCCUAAAGAAAAAAACACUACACCUACAAGGAACAUCCGAGCUAGAAAGAAAAUCUUUCCUCCCAAAGUAAAACAGGAAAAACAAUGCAUGUCUAAGACUUGACCCCAAAUUGAAGAAAAAAAUGUUCUUCUAGAAUACAUAACAAUCUGUUCUUCACAUAUGUUUGGAGCCAGAAUUUUCUCUACCUCUAUGAUCCAAUUAAUUUGAAGCUGAGAAAUUUCUUUAAACUAAUGCUGGAAUGGGAGUGUCACCAUGUUCCCAACAGAAGUAAAUGUAAACCAUCUAUUAAGGAACCUACCCUAAAUCCCAGGCUUCAACAAAAUCCCUGCAAAAUGUAUAAAAAUAUAUAUGCUCACAAAAAUAAAAUACGAAAGUAAAUAAGAUACUAAGAGUGAGCAGAAACCACUGAAAGAAGAGUAAAACUCUCAAAUACUGUAGAUAUUAGAAUUAUUGUAUAUAGAAUAUAAUGGUUAUGUAAUAAAUACCCUUAAAAUAAGAGUGUCAAUACUACAUUUAAUAAAUGAUUUACUACAUACAGCCAUUAUGGAAAACAAUACAGAGCUUCCUCAAAAAACUAAAAACAGAACUGCCAUAUGACCCAGCAAUCCCACUGCUGGGCAUAUAUCCAAAAGAAAGGAAAUCAGUAUGUCAGUGAGAUAUCUGUACUACCAUGGUUAUUGUAGCACUAUUCGCAAUAGCCAAAAUAUGGAAUCAACCUGAGUGUCCACCAAUAGAUGAGUAGAUUUUUUUAAUGUGGUAUAUAUAACAAUGAAGUAGUAUUCAGCCAUAAAAAAGAAUGAAAUUCUGUCAUUUGCAGCAACAUGGAUGGAAUGGGAGGUCAUUAUGUUAGUGAAAUGAGCCAGUCACAGAAAGACAAACAUCACAUGUUCUCACUUACAUGUGGAAGCUAAAAAACUGAAUCUCAUGGAGGUAGAGAACAGAAUGAUGAUUACAAGAGGCUGGGAAAGGAAGUGGGGAAGGGGAAUGAAGAUGAGUUGGUUAAAGGGUACAACAAUAUUGUUAGAAGGAAUAAGUUCUAUUAUUUGAUGGUAUAGUAUGGAAAUUAUAGUUAACAAUAAUUUAUUAUAUAUUUCAAAAUAGCUAAAAAAGAAGAAUUAUAAUGUUCCCAACACAAAAAAAAAUGUUCGAGGUGAUGGAUAUCCCAAUUACUCUGAUUUGACUACAUAUUGUACGCAUCUGUCAAAUUAUCACAUGUAUCCCAAAAAACAUGUACAAUUAUGAUAUAUCAAUAAAAAUACAAAUAAGACACUACAAAAAUGAUUAGGUUUUUUUAAAAAGUCUAGAAAUUUAAAAUAUAGUAAAUAAUAUUUUUGAACAGAUUUGAAAUGAUUGAACAGAAAGUUAAUAAUUGGAAAAUAACUCUGAAGAAAUUACACAGAUUAUAGCCUAAGAUAACAAAGUGAUUGAUAGGGGGCUAUAGUAAUAAAUAUAAUUGAAGUUUGGAAAUAAGGUAAUAGAAAUAGACAAUAUUUGAAGGGUAAAUGGCUAAGGAUUUUCCCAAAUUAUGAAAGUCAUAAAUUCCCAGGUUCCAGAAGCCAAACAAAUGCUAGAAGGGUAAAUAAAAAGAAACACACAUGUAGAGAUAUUGUAAUGAACCUGCAGAAUACCAAAGAUAAAACUAUUUUUAAAGUAGACAGUAAAAAGGCAAACCAGCAACAAAGUAAUAUCAAUUAGACUGAUGCCUGACUUCUCAAAAGCAGCAGUGAGGCUAGAAGUAAAUAGAAUAACAACUUCAAGAUUAGACAGUUAUGACCUAGAAUUAUAUACCAAGUGAAAAUGUUGUUUCAAGAAUUAAGGCUGUGUCAAUCAAACUUUAUCUUAGAUCAGGGUCUCUAGAAAUACAGCUUGAAACAGGAAUCUCUAUACAGGUGAUUAACUGACAGACUUCUCUCCUGAGUAAAUUAUAAUGAUGUAAGGGGAACAGGAUAAGGCAGGGGAAGAAACUCAAGAUGUGGUUUCAGCUAUAGUCUAGCCCCAGCCUGACCUCAAGGGAGUUCUGGAGUAUGAUUAUCACCACGUGGUUGUCCCACCUUGAGGCAAAAGGCUUAGGUGUCUUUCAAAGACCCAGGUGUUGUUUAUUAAUUCCUCACAUCAAGUAUCUUCUCCAUCAAGACUUUAACUGGUGUUUUAGAGCCAUGUUAAGACAAAUAACUUAGGCAUUACUUAUAAGCUUUACUAUUUUCAUUGUUCAUUUAAAUUUUUUAUAUAUCAUGGCCUUAAUAUGUAGUCUUUUAAAGUUAUGUUAUAUUUACACUCAAGGCACAUGAUAUUAAUAUAUUCACCACUGAGAUUGUCUGUGCUAAUAUUUUGCUACAUUCCCUUUAGAUUGUCAUUAUUUUCAAAGAAACAACACAUUACAAAUACAGUUACAGUCCCACCUUCCAUCUCUUCCUCAUUCCUGUCUACUCAGAAGUAACCCUUUUUCUGAAAUAAGUAUUAUCAUACUCAUAUAUGUUUAUUUCUUUCCUUUGGAUAAACUUCCUAAAUGUUUGAUACUCUAUAUUCAACUUUUUUUUUUUUUAGCCACAACAUUAUAUCUCUGAGACUUGCUAUGUUGAUACAUUCAAAUCCAAUUCAUUCAUUUUCAUUUUAGGCAUUCUGCUGGACCAACAAACAACAGUGUAUUUUUUCAUCCCCCUGCUGUUUGACAAUAAGAUUUUCUUAGCCUUGUAACAAUUAACAACUCAAAAAUAUACAUCUUUGUAUAUGUCUCCUUGAACAAGAGUUUCUCCCUGAGAAGCUCCCAGAAGAAGAACUGUUGGGCUAUGGAGAAUAUGCAUUGUCAACCUUACUUGGUAGUUCCAACAUAGCUUUCCAAAGUGUUUAUACUUAUUUUCCGUCCCUGCAACCACGCCUUGGAGUUCUUGUUUUGUUUGCAUUAUCACCAACAGUGAAUAUUAUCAAACUUAAUAAAUUUGUAAAUAUAAAAUGUUUUGUCCUUGUUUUAAUUUACAUUUCCUAAGUACUAAAGAAGUUGGACAUCUUUACAUAUAUUUAUUGGCCAUUGUAUUAGUUCAUUUUCACACUGCUAAUAAAGACACACCUGAGCCUGAGUAAUUUAUAAAGAAAAAGAAAUUUAAUGGACUCAUAGUUCCACAUGGCUGGGGAGGUCUCACAAUCAUGGCAGAAGGUGAAUGAGGAGAAAGACAUGUCUUACAUGGCAGCAGACAAGAGAGAGCAUGUGAGGGGAACUGCUGUUUAUAAAAUCAUCAGAUUUCAUGAGACUUAUUCACUAUCAAGGGAACAGCAUGGGAAAAACCCGCCCCAUGAUUCAAUUACCUCCCACAGGCUCCCUCCCAUGACACAUGGGGAUUAUUAGAAUUCAAGGUGAGAUUUGGGUGGGGACACAAAGCCAAACCAUAUCAGCCAUCUAUCUUCCUCUGUCAGUUUACCAUUAUAUAUUUUAACAAUAUUUAUAUCUGAUAUUAUUGAUUUCUAAGAGCAUUUUAUAUAUUCUGCGUAUUAAUAUUUCAUUGGUAAUAUGAGUUGCAAGUGUCUUUUCUCAGUCUAUGACUUUUAUUUUCAUCUCUGUCCCCUUUUAUACAGAAGUUUUAUGUUUCAGUGUAUCAGAAUGUAUUAAUUUUUCCUUUCGUGCUUUCUCUAAGAAUUAUAUCUUAGGAGUAAGUUCAAGAGAGCUAUUGUACAAUAUGGUUGUAUAGUUAAUAACAUUUUGAAAAUCACUGACUAGAUUGUUUUUACCACAAAAAAUGAUAAGUACAUGAUGUAAUGUAUGUGUUAAUUAGCUCAAAUGAGCCAUUCCACAAUGUAUACGUAUUUCAAAACAAUGUUGUACACAAUAAGUAUAUAAAUAUAUGCAAUUUCUAUUGGUCAAUUAAAAAUAUAUUUUACUAAAGGCAUAAAAAUAUUCUCCCAUUUUUUGGUUGAAAGUUUUAGAGCUUUGCUGAUCACAUUUAGGUCUUUAAGCUAUCUGGAAUGUAUUUUUGUGAAUGAUGUGAUAUAGCAAUCUCAUUUUAUCUUGUACUAUAUAAUGGCCAAGUUCCUCAGCAUCAUUUAUUGAUGAUUUUAUCCCCUUUCUCAUAUAAAAAACUCCCAAG
rnacentral:lncRNA from 1 species